rnacentral:rRNA from 1 species
UACGGAGGAUGCGAGCGUUAUCCGGAUUUAUUGGGUUUAAAGGGUGCGUAGGCGGACGGUCAAGUCAGCGGUAAAAAUGCGGUGCUCAACGCCGUACAGCCGUUGAAACUGGGUGCCUUGAGUGGGCGAGAAGUACGCGGAAUGCGUGGUGUAGCGGUGAAAUGCAUAGAUAUCACGCAGAACUCCGAUCGCGAAGGCAGCCUACCGGCGCGCGACUGACGCUCAUGCACGAAAGCGUGGGUAUCGAACAGG